GGGCUGCGCGUGCGCGGAGGCUGGCUGUGGACAGUGGCUGCCGCCAGAGCCUUCGCUUGUGGUGAUUUUGGGCUCCCUCGGUUGGCAGUGUUGAUGUGCGCCUGUUAGUUGUGAGCGAGGCAGAUUUCCUCGCGUGGCCGGCACGACCUUCACCUUUGCAGAAGGCAACCGGGACCCUCAGUGAGACACCUUCCAUUUCCAUCGUAGUCCCACCAUGGUCUGGAUUUUACAUUCGCUCGCGUUGGUAAACUAUUAAAGCUCAAAGUCCUCACCAGAAGCAAAUGCAGAUGCCAUGGUCCUUGGACAGCCCGCAGAACCAUCAGCCAAAUAAGCCUCUUCUCUUUAGGAAUUACCCAGCCUCAGGAAUUGGCAGCUGGAAUCUCAGGCAAUCAACCCUUUGCAGCCUUCACCACUGGGCUUGUGCCUCCGUUGAAGGUGCUGGAGGGCAUGCUUCUAAUCAUCACUAAUCUACCACUUUAAUAAGGAAGGGUUUCACUGUCACCUGGGCUGGAGUGACAUCAUCAGAGUUCACUGAAGCCUCGAUUUGCUGGGCUGAAGCCAUCCUCCCACCUCAGCCUCCCAAAGAGCUAAGACCACAGGCGUGCACCACCAUCCCAAGCUAAUUUUUGUAUUUUUAGUAAAGACAGGGUCUUGCCAUGUUGGCCAGGCUGGUCUCAAACUCCUGGGCUCAAGUGAUCUGCCCGCCUCAGCCUCCCCAAAUGCUGAGAUUACAGGCAUGAGCCACCAUGCCUGGCCAUGACCUAGUGGUUCUUGAAGUCUUUAAACCAGCCUUCACUUGCACUGAGAAAAAGUACUUUGAUGCACUUUUAAUUUUUUUAAGUCUUCAUUUAUUAUCAUGCCUCUUCUUUCAUUGUGAGAAAACUUGUGAGAUCUUUUUUAUUUUCUUUUUUUUUCUGAGACGGAGUUUUGCUCUUGUUGCCCAGGCUGGAGUGCAGUGGCACAAUCUCGGCUCACUACAACCUCCGCCUCCUGGGUUCCAGCGAUUCUCCUGCCUCAACCUCUUGAGUGGCUGGGAUUGCAGGCGUCCACCAGCACACCUGGCUAAUUUUUUUUUUUUUUUUUUUUUAGUAGAGACGGGGUUUCACCGUGUUGGCCAGGCUGGUCUUGAACUCCUGACCUCAGGUGAUCCAUCCGCCUCAACCUCCCAAAAUGCUGGGAUUACAGGCAUGAGACACUGCGCCCGGCCAUGAGAUCAUUUUAAAACAUUAAUGUACUGGGAAGAAUCAAAUAUGCACUACAAGAUGUGUUAUAAACAUCACUCCCUUGUUUACUAAUCGUGUAUGAGCUGAUUUGCAGCAAGGAUCAGGCAUCGUAACAGCCUCAUGAAGUUGUGAAGAUUAAACGAAGUGAUGCAUGUGAAACAUUGAGGACAAUGCUGGGCAAAUAAUACAGAGAUUCUUUUCUGCGCUCAGACACCAGCCAGAAGAUCCCUGAGGAAUCGCCACACUGUCUUCCACAAUGGUUGAACCAGUUUACAGUCCCAACAACUGUGUAAAGGUGUUCCUAUUUCUCCACAUCCUCUCCAGAACCUGUUGUUUCCUGACUUUUUAAUGAUCGCCAUUCUAACUGGUGUGAGAUGGUAUCUCAUUGUGGUUUUGAUUUGCAUUUCUCUGAUGGCCAGUGAUGAUGAGCCUUUUUUCCUGUGUCUGUUGGCUGCCUAAAUGUCUUCUUUUGAGAAGGGUAUGUUCAUAUCCAUCACCCACUUUUUGAUGGGGUUGUUUGUUUUAUUCUUGUUAAUUUGUUUGAGUUCUUUGUAGAUUCUGGAUAUUAGCCCUUUGUCAGAUGAGUAGAUUGCAAAAUUUUUCUCCCAUUCUGUAGGUUGCCUGUUCACUCUGAUGGUAGUUUCUUUUGCUGUGCAGAAACUCUUUAGUUUAAUUAGAUCCCAUUUGUCAAUGGGCAAGGACUUCGUGUCUAAAACACCAAAAGCAAUGGCAACAAAAGCCAACAUUGCCCUUUCAUGUUUAAUGUGACAAAUUUUUACCAAUAUCUUCAGGCCCCAUCCGUUAAGAAGAUGAGUAGGAUAUUCUAAAACCCUGGGAACUUGGAUCUUUGCUGGCAAAUGCUACUCUUAGAUGCUGAAAAAAGCAUCAGGAAGAAAUUAUAAAGAACAUUGUAUAUUUCUAGGAAGAACAUUUUAGUUGGGGAAGAAUGCAAUUUCUUUCAAUUUUUCUAAAUUGUGACAUAAAACACAACUUAAAUAUUACCUGUUUAUAUAGGGAUGCCUGAUGUUCACCCACAUUCAGCUUUCUUUUCUUUCAGAGCACACAGAUGAGUAUUUAUCUCCGUGUAGUUAGGUGGGUCCAUGUGACCAAUUCCAGCCAAUGCAUCAUGGGUGAAAGCAACAUGUAUAAUUUUGCAGCCAGAGCAUUUAAUUGCAGGUGUGAAAAUCUCCAACUCUCUUCCCUAACUGCCAUGUCUUUUGAGGUUUUAUGUUCCAGAUGAUGCCUGGAUCUUUGAAUCUCUGUCUUGUGAAGGACAGGCAGUGGCUCUGGAGAGUCACUUGAAUCCACAGCUGACUCUGUGUAAAAGGGAAACAAACUUCUGUGUGUGUGUGAUGCCAGAGUGAGUUUUGUGGGUUUCAGUUAUUGCAAAACCUAGCCUAUUCUGAGUUUUUCUGAUGGACUAAAUGAGAUAAUCCAGGCCAACUUUUCUGAGACUUAGUUUUCUCUUUUGUAAAGUGUGGUAAACAUUUCUUAACUUAUAGAGUUGUGGGGAUUAAAUACCAAGAACAUGUAAAACAUUUAGCAUGGUGCCCAUCCCUAAAAUAUUUCAAUAACUAUUAGAAGUUUAAGUAUUAUAAUUAUCUGUUGGCAUAUUUUCUGGCUACAAGUCUUUUAUCAAAUAUAUGAUUUGCAAGUAUUUUAUCUCAGUUUGUGACUUGUCUUUUCAUUCUCUCAACAAUGUCUUUCAAAGAGCAGGGUUUACAUGUUUAGCAAUUUGGCUUUUUUCAUAAAUUGUGCUUUUGUGUUAUAACUUAAAAUUUUUUGCCUAACUCAGAGUUACAAAAGUUUUAUCCUAGGUUUCCUUUUAGAAGUUUUAUAGUUUUAAGGUUUGCAUUUAAGUCACUGAUUCAUUUUGAGUUAAUUUUUAAAAUAUAAUGUGAAGUAUAGAUCUAGGUUUAUGGUUUUUUGUAUAUGGAUAUAGAAUUGUUCCAGAACUAAUUGUUGAAAAGUGAUUGUUUCUUCAUCAAGUUACCUUUGCACUUUUAUAAUAAAAUCGAUUGUUCAUAUAUGUGAAGGUCUGUUUAUGAAGUCUCUCUUCUGUCCCAUUGAUCUAUUUGCUGAUGUUAACACCAAUGCUACAUUGUCUUGCUUACUAUAGCUUCAUAAUAAGUCUUAAAAUUAGCUGGAAUUAGUCCUCCAAAUUGUUCAUCUCUUUCAAUGUUGUUGGCUAUUCUAGUUUCUUUGUACUUUCAUAUGAAUAUUAGAAUCAGUUUGCCAAUUUCUAAAAAAAGUCUAGUGAGAUUUUGAUUGGAAUUGCAUGGAACCUAUGGAUCUACUUACGGAGAAUUGACAUCUUAACAAUAUUUAGUUUUUUGAUCCAUGAACAUAUUAUAGCUCUCUAUUUAUUUAGAUCUUUACUUUUUCUCAAUAAUGUUCACAGUUUUCAGUGUACUGGUCUUUCACAGCUUUUGUCAGAUAUAUGGCUAAGAAUUUUAUACCUUUUGGUGUUAUUGUAAAUGUUACUAUUUUUUGAAUGUCAAUUUCUGACUGUUCAUGGUUAGCAUAUAGAAAUACAAUUGAUUUGUAUUUGAUUUGUGUAUUGUUCUGGAACUUUGCCACCUUGAUAAACUCAUUUAUUAAUUAUUUUAUGUUUUUGGUAGAUAUCAUAGGAUAUUUUACAUAAGUAAACAUUUUAUCUGUAAAUAAAAUAAAUUAUACAUAUUCUUUUCCAAA